CAGUCGAGACUUGUGCAUUGGUCGAGAAUAAGUGCUACUACUGCACUCGUCCCGGCCUAGC
rnacentral:pre_miRNA from 1 species